rnacentral:rRNA from 1 species
UACGAAGGGGGCUAGCGUUGCUCGGAAUCGCUGGGCGUAAAGGGUGCGUAGGCGGGUUUUUAAGUCAGGGGUGAAAUCCUGGAGCUCAACUCCAGAACUGCCUUUGAUACUGAAGAUCUUGAGUCCGGGAGAGGUGAGUGGAACUGCGAGUGUAGAGGUGAAAUUCGUAGAUAUUCGCAAGAACACCAGUGGCGAAGGCGGCUCACUGGCCCGGUACUGACGCUGAGGCACGAAAGCGUGGGGAGCAAACAGG